rnacentral:tRNA from 1 species
GGAAGUAUAGCUCAAAAGUAGAGUGCUUGCCUAGUAUGCAUGAGGCACUGGGUUCCAAUCCCAGCACUGCCA